ensembl:lncRNA PAXBP1-AS1 PAXBP1 antisense RNA 1
GGAGGCAGAGGAAAAUUAAACACGCACACAGGAGAGAGAGAGAGAGAAAAAAAAGUGAUGUGAAGACAGCAGCAGAGAUUGGAGCGAUGUGGCCAUAGCCAAGCUAUGUCAGCAGCCAUCAGAAGUUGGAAGAGGCAAGGAAGGAUUUGAGCCUAGAGCCUUUGGAAGGAGCAUGGCCCUGUUGGUUCUGGCCUCCAGAACUGCAAGAAAAUACAUUUUUGUUGUUUUAAACCACCCAGUUCAUGGUAAUUUGUAACACCAGCUACAAGAAAUUAACACAAGGCUGAUGUGACUUUCCAUCAGGAGAGAGACAGCCCCAGGUAGGUGUUUCAGAUAUCACAUCCAAUAGAACAAAUUAAAGACAAACACCCUAAAUUCUAGAUGUUGAUUUGUGAGCAAGUUAUUUCUCCUAUGGGCAACUCUAGUUGAAAUAUGCAAUUCAUUAUGUUGAAACAUGGAAUUGUUAUUUUCAUAGGUUAAAAAAAAAUCACAUAGUGGCAAUAUAGUAGUAGUGCUCGUUUUUUGUUUUUUGUUUUUUUGUCAAAAAUGCUAGACAACAUGGAAGAUCAGGGAAAUAUUAACAGUCUGAUUCAGUAACCUUUAACAGCUUCUUUUCAGGUUACACAGGCUAAGCUAACUUUUAUAUCAGGAUCAGGAUCUGCAGAGUUAUUAGUAUAGUGCUCUGCAGAUCCUGGUCCUAGUAUAGCAGGAUCUGCAGACCCUAGUUGUACCUGGCCAUGUUCCCCACCAAUGACUGAGAAAGAAAUGGCUCGAACAGAAAACAGUGGUCUUGAAAGGCAACGCAACAGUAGGUUACAAAUAGCAUUAGCUUUUUCUUUAAAGAAAUUCAUUGUAACCAGUGAAGGAUAAGAUUUUAAAUUAGAAAAAUGGAAAUCCUAUGAAUAAAAAACUAGUAAGCUUGAGAGCAGAAUCACUGUGGAAAAAAAACAGAUUGAAAAAUAACUUGCAGGUAUCAUAGACAGGAAAUUGCCACUAGAGAAAACAGGAAACUUGUGAUAGAUAAAAAUGAAGUAUUUUCAUUUGGAACAAGAGACCAACUGAAGAGAGAUCAAGUGAAGGGGGUUUAUUUUAAUGAAACACAAAGAUUCUUGUGGAAAUCAAAGUGCCGGAGCCAGAAACAGGGCUCAACCUUCAAGAUUAGAGCUGUAUUCAAGUUGUUCAAGUUGGCUCUCGGUCCCAAAGCAACAGCAAUGUCACUAAGGUUACAAGUAAAAGGUGAGACCUGCCUGCCUCAUUGUCUGACAGCUUUCCCAGCCUCCUCCAGGCUCCCCUCCGUUUUCUCUUAUACGCAUUCCCCCAAUAAACUUCCUGUACAUUUAAUACCAUCUCAGUGUCUGCUCCCAGGAGGACCCUAACUGACACACUGGGGCAUUUAGCCUCCAAUUCCUUUUCUCCCUUGGCUGAGAUCUGUUCCAGGAAGUAUCUCCAGGACACUCCAGCCUGUUGCACAGGCCAAAGAAAAGCCCUCAGGCAGAGGAGCAAAUACUUGCAAGAGGACACCAGUGGCAAGAACAGGGACAUGCCACCCUGUGAAGACGUGCCUUUCGUCAAGAUUGUAAGUUUCCUGAGGCCUUCCCACCCAUGCGGAACUGAAAAAAUCUUCCUGUGACUUCCUACAACUUUUGGGAUAAGGACCAAAGUAUUUCAAAUGACCUACAAGAUCCUCUAUCAUCUGGACUAUGGACUUACUUGCUCACUCCAGCUGUCCUAUGCUUUCUUCAGCGCCUCCAGUGUAGCCUGCUCUCUUUCACCUCAGGGCUAACUUCUAUUUUUUCUCCAGGUCGAAUGAUCUAAAUAUCACUUCCUCAGGGUGGAAGGAAAUCUUCUGGGACUAGCUAGUCAAGCUAUGAUAAGAGAAACAAGAACUGGAUUUAACCUUUGGUUGCAAACAACUAAAAACUGGACGGCUGGAGAUAUCAUGCUACCAGACUUCAAACUAUAAGGCCACAGUAACCAAAACAGCAUGGUACUGAUACAAAAACAGACACAUAGACCAAUGGAACAGAAUAGAGAACUCAGCAAUAAGACCGCACACCUACAACCAUCUGAUCUCCGACAAACCUGACACGAACAAGCAAUGGGGAAAAGAUUCCCUGUUUAAUAAAUGGUGUUGGGAGAAUUGGCUAGCCAUAUACAGAAAAUUGAAACUGGGCUCCUUCCUUACACCAUAUACAAAAGUUAAGUCAAGAUGGAUUAAAGACUUAAAUGUAAACCCCAAAACUAUAAAAAUCCUAGAAGAAAAUCUAGGCAAUACCAUUCAAGACAUCGGCAUGGGCAAAGAUUUCACGACAAAAACACCAAAAGCAACUGCAACAAAAGCAAAAAUUGACAAAUGGUAUCUAAUUCAACUAAAGAGCUUCUACGCAGCAAAAGAAACUAUUAUCAGAGUGAACAGACAACCUACAGAAUGGGAGAAAAUUCUUGCAAUCUAUCCAUCUGACAAAGGUCUAAUAUCCAGAGUCUACAGGAAACUUUAUAGGAAAAAAACAACCCCAUUAAAAGUGGGCAAAGGACAUGAACAGAUACUUCUCAAAAGAAGACAUUCAUGUAGCCAACAAACAUGAAAAAAAGCUCAACAUCACCGAUGAUUGGAGAAAUGCAAAUCUAAACCACAAUGAGAUACCAUCCCAUGCCAAUCAGAAUGGGAAUUAUUUAAAAGUCCAGAAACAAAAGAUGCUGGUAAGGUUUCAGAGAAAAAGGAACACUUUUACACUAUUGGUGGGAGUGUAAGGAAGACAGUGUGCCAAUUCCUCACAGAUCUAGAAGCAGAAAUGCCAUUUGACCCAGCAAUCCCAUUACUGGGUAUAUACCUACAGAAAUAUAAAU